UCUGCAGCUGGAUAUAUCUCGUUGAGUCUGCAGCCAGACAGUUGCAGUCAGCUAUAUUAUCGGAUAAAGAAAAAUGCUUUUUGAAACAUUGGUAUUAGUGUACUUUUUGGGACUUGGAUUUGCAGUAGUGCAUAGAAGCCAAGGUUCCCUCUACACGAAAUACGAAGUGGGUGAUUCAGCUACUCUCUAUUGCAACGUUAGCACAGAUGAAGAAGUCGUAAACAGCUGCACAUUUUUGUGGGAAAUUACCGACGAACUUAAGAAUGACUUCAUAGAUAUCACAACCACGCCGAAAUAUCACAACAGAGUCAGUGUGGCAUCCCAAGACCUUUCAAGCAUGAUGACCAUACGAGAUCUGGCGGACACCGACACAGACGAGAUAAUGUGCACACCAUUGUGUUAUAUUUAUGAUGAUCUUCGUUACAUCUUGGGUAACGGGACAACUCUAAAAAUAACAGAACAAGAAAAGAAAAUAAAGGAACAAGAAAAUUUGGGAUUUCCAUGGCUGAAGUACCUCAUAUUCUCACUCAAUUGUAUAAUUUUCAGCAUUUCAAUGGUAAUCUGUAUCUAUAUUAUUCGAAAACGGCGUUUUGGGAAAUGUGCCCAAAACGAAUAAUAAUGCACUUUUAAACAAUUCUCAUGCCUAAAUCUAAAUGGUUAGGCGUUAAUUUCAUUCAACUAAAAUUGACGAGAUCAAAUGAUUUCGAAAGUGAAAGCAUUUUAAACUAAACAAAGGUGGGGUUAUUUUUUUUUCUAAAUGUUGACGAGGUUUAUUAAUUCGAUUAACAUUUAGCAAUAAAGCAGUCAAACUCAAACUAUCACAAAGGUGUUUAGUUUAGGCUAUUUUGCUUUGCUGUUUAUUUUGACGCAGUUUAUUGUUUCGAUUUAGAUUUACCAGUUAUGCACUAUAUGCUAUAAUCAACUGAUUUUUAAACACCUUGUCUUCGUAAGGAAGUAGGCCUAUAUAAAUGUAAUGUAAUAUCGUGUCAAAAUAUUUUCUUAAAAAAGUCAUAGCUGAAAUAAUCCGUUUCCAGCCAUUUUAAGUCAAAAUGUAACAAGCUCUCUUUAAAUAUAGCUUUGCCAUAUACAGUAUAUAAAAUGUUUUUAAAUCUGUAAUACUUAAUAUUUACGUAUGUACGACAAUUUUUAUUUAAAAAAAAAUUGGAUUAAAGGUCAGAAAAAACAAGUCUUGAGCCAGAAAAACAACUUACCAGUCGUUUUGCAAUUCCAUAAAUGAAAGUGUUUACCUUAUAGGUCGAUUUUUCCUUUACAGGUCGAUUUUUUUCUAUAAAUAGGAGGGACCAGGUUCUCAGAUUACACCUGUGUGUGAAGAUUGGAUUGUUCUCUUCCAUCAAUCUUUGACAACAAAAACUGAAAAUAUGUAUAAAAUAUGUAUUUAACAUUAUUACAAAUACAUUUUCAAGUAUCUCACUUCAUUUGUUUUAUUAAUUUUAAUUCUCAAGUAUAUAAAAAAUGUAAUAAUAGAGAAUUUUCUGUCAGGGCAUUUUCCAAUAACUGUACAAGCAACACCACUGUAAAAGUAAACAAUAUGUAGAGAAUAUUUGAAAUACAAAUAAAGUUUUUACAGUUUACAGUACUUUUUAUAUAAUCAUGCAUUAUUUAAAAAAAAAAAAAA
rnacentral:lncRNA from 1 species